GCGUAAGAGCUCGUAGGCGGUUUGUCGCGUCUGCCGUGAAAGUCCGGGGCUCAACUCCGGAUCUGCGGUGGGUACGGGCAGACUAGAGUGAUGUAGGGGAGACUGGAAUUCCUGGUGUAGCGGUGAAAUGCGCAGAUAUCAGGAGGAACACCGAUGGCGAAGGCAGGUCUCUGGGCAUUAACUGACGCUGAGGAGCGAAAGCAUGGGGAGCGAACAGGAUUAGAUACCCUGGUAGUCCAUGCCGUAAACGUUGGGCACUAGGUGUGGGGGACAUUCCACGUUUUCCGCGCCGUAGCUAACGCAUUAAGUGCCCCGCCUGGGGAGUACGGCCGCAAGGCUAAAACUCAAAGGAAUUGACGGGGGCCCGCACAAGCGGCGGAGCAUGCGGAUUAAUUCGAUGCAACGCGAAGAACCUUACCAAGGCUUGACAUGGACCGGACCGCCGCAGAAAUGUGGUUUCCCCUUUGGGGCUGGUUUACAGGUGGUGCAUGGUUGUCGUCAGCUCGUGUCGUGAGAUGUUGGGUUAAGUCCCGCAACGAGCGCAACCCUCGUUCUAUGUUGCCAGCACGUGAUGGUGGGGACUCAUAGGAGACUGCCGGGGUCAACUCGGAGGAAGGUGGGGACGACGUCAAAUCAUCAUGCCCCUUAUGUCUUGGGCUUCACGCAUGCUACAAUGGCCGGUACAAAGGGUCGCGAUACUGUGAGGUGGAGCUAAUCCCAAAAAGCCGGUCUC
rnacentral:rRNA from 1 species